UACAGAGGUCCCAAGCGUUAUUCGGAAUCAUUGGGCUUAAAGGGUGCGUAGGCGGGCUCGUGAGUCAGGGGUGAAAUCCCACGGCCCAACCGUGGAAGUGCCUCUGAUACCGCGGGCCUCGAGGGGGAUAGGGGCGUGCGGAACUUCCGGUGGAGCGGUGAAAUGCGUAGAUAUCGGAAGGAACACCGGUGGCGAAAGCGGCGCGCUGGAUCCCUACUGACGCUGAGGCACGAAAGCCAGGGGAGCAAACGGG
rnacentral:rRNA from 1 species